rnacentral:rRNA from 1 species
ACCGACCUACGGGAGGCAGCAGUGGGGAAUAUUGCACAAUGGGGGAAACCCUGAUGCAGCGACGCCGCGUGAGUGAAGAAGUAUUUCGGUAUGUAAAGCUCUAUCAGCAGGGAAGAAGUUGACGGUACCUGAGUAAGAAGCCCCGGCUAACUACGUGCCAGCAGCCGCGGUAAUACGUAGGGGGCAAGCGUUAUCCGGAUUUACUGGGUGUAAAGGGAGCGUAGAAGGCAGUGCAAGUCUGAAGUGAAAGCCAAGGGGU